UUGGAAACGCAGCACAGCUCUGGAAUGGCGCAUUCCUGUGGUGCCACACGCAAUUGCUGCAACCACCUCGUGUAGCUACAUAUGAUCUGAAAUUUGCUUGACAUGAGAGGUAUUGGAUAAGGACUUGAAAACUGCCUUUGCAGUCUUUCUCUUCUGUGCCGCACUGAGACACUUCUGCAGCCUGCGAUUUCUCUUGGUUUAAGCAGUAUUUAUCAAAUGGAAACAUAUGUAUACAGUAGAUUGUACUUGGAAAUGCAGUUCACUUACACAAUUCUUGUCAACACAGGAUGCUCAUGAGCACACUUCUGAGAAGGAUGAAAUAUCCGCCUUUGUCAAGAUGCAAGGUUUUGAACAGAGAAUAUCUCCCAGGCAUGUUUAGAUAUGCUGGAUGAAUGAGCAGAUAAUCAAAUGGCAGAAACAUAACAACAGUAUAAACAGAAAUGACCAAAGUUAACUGCUGAGUCUUUUC